rnacentral:rRNA from 1 species
GGAGCCGGAGGGAAACCGAGUCUUAAUUGGGCGUUAAGUUGCAGGGUAUAGACCCGAAACCCGGUGAUCUAGCCAUGGGCAGGUUGAAGGUUGGGUAACACUAACUGGAGGACCGAACCGACUAAUGUUGAAAAAUUAGCGGAUGACCUGUGGCUGGGGGUGAAAGGCCAAUCAAACCGGGAGAUAGCUGGUUCUCCCCGAAAGCUAUUUAGGUAGCGCCUCGUGAAUUCAUCUCCGGGGGUAGAGCACUGUUUCGGCUAGGGGGCCAUCCCGGCUUACCAACCCGAUGCAAACUGCGAAUACCGGAGAAUGUUAUCACGGGAGACACACGGCGGGUGCUAACGUCCGUCGUGAAGAGGGAAACAACCCAGACCGCCAGCUAAGGUCCCAAAGUCAUGGUUAAGUGGGAAACGAUGUGGGAAGGCCCAGACAGCCAGGAUGUUGGCUUAGAAGCAGCCAUCAUUUAAAGAAAGCGUAAUAGCUCACUGGUCGAGUCGGCCUGCGCGGAAGAUGUAACGGGGCUAAACCAUGCACCGAAGCUGCGGCAGCGAACGUAUCACCCAAGACAACUUUACGGAGUUGACGAUUGACGGAGCGAAGCGACGUCAAAGCGUUCAUUAAAGUCGAGUUGGCUUAGGGAUACGUUCGUUGGGUAGGGGAGCGUUCUGUAAGCCUGUGAAGGUGUGUCGUGAGGCAUGCUGGAGGUAUCAGAAGUGCGAAUGCUGACAUAAGUAACGAUAAAGCGGGUGAAAAGCCCGCUCGCCGGAAGACCAAGGGUUCCUGUCCAACGUUAAUCGGGGCAGGGUGAGUCGACCCCUAAGGCGAGGCCGAAAGGCGUAGUCGAUGGGAAACGGGUUAAUAUUCCCGUACUUGGUGUUACUGCGAAGGGGGGACGGAGAAGGCUAUGUUGGCCGGGCGACGGUUGUCCCGGUUUAAGCGUGUAGGUGUGUGUUCCAGGUAAAUCCGGUUCACUUUAACACUGAGGCGUGACGACGAGGCACUACGGUGCUGAAGCAACAAAUGCCCUGCUUCCAGGAAAAGCCUCUAAGCAUCAGGUAACACGAAAUCGUACCCCAAACCGACACAGGUGGUCAGGUAGAGAAUACCAAGGCGCUUGAGAGAACUCGGGUGAAGGAACUAGGCAAAAUGGUGCCGUAACUUCGGGAGAAGGCACGCUGACACGUAGGUGAAGUGAUUUACUCAUGGAGCUGAAGUCAGUCGAAGAUACCAGCUGGCUGCAACUGUUUAUUAAAAACACAGCACUGUGCAAACACGAAAGUGGACGUAUACGGUGUGACGCCUGCCCGGUGCCGGAA